rnacentral:rRNA from 1 species
GAGUCUAGCAUGUGCGCGAGUCAUUGGGACGCAAGCGAAACCUAAAGGCGCAAUGAAAGUGAAGGUCCGCCUGGCGCGGACCGAGGGAGGAUGGACGGCCGUCCGCGGUCGUCCCGCACUCCCCGGGCGUCUCGUUCUCAUCGCGAGAAGAGGCGCACCGAGAGCGUACACGCUGGGACCCGAAAGAUGGUGAACUAUGCCUGGUCAGGACGAAGUCAGGGGAAACCCUGAUGGAGGUCCGUAGCGAUUCUGACGUGCAAAUCGAUCGUCGGAACUGGGUAUAGGGGCGAAAGACUAAUCGAACCAUCUAGUAGCUGGUUCCCUCCGAAGUUUCCCUCAGGAUAGCUGGCGCUCGCUUCUCGCGAGUCUCAUUCGGUAAAGCGAAUGAUUAGAGGCAUUGGGGUCGAAACGGCCUCAACCUAUUCUCAAACUUUAAAUGGGUGAGAUCUCCGGCUUGCUUGAACUGUGAAGCCGCGAGAUAUCGGAUCAGAGUGCCAAGUGGGCCACUUUUGGUAAGCAGAACUGGCGCUGUGGGAUGAACCAAACGCCGAGUUAAAGCGCCUAAAUCGACGCUUAUGGGAUACCAUGAAAGGCGUUGGUAACUUAAGACAGCAGGACGGUGGCCAUGGAAGUCGGA